AAUAACCUUAUUUUUCAUUUUUUCAUGCCCAACGUUUAACCAUUCGUCUUAUUUAAAUUUUUUUACGAUUAAUAUUUUUAUUGUUACUAAAUGAUAAAAUAUGAAUAGUACUUUAUACGUGACUAAUUUUUUUAAGUUUUUGUACAAAUUUUUUAAAUAAGACGAAUGGUCAAACAUUGGGUACGGAAAAAC
rfam:Oryza brachyantha chromosome 6, whole genome shotgun sequence.